AACGAACGCUGGCGGCAUGCCUAACACAUGCAAGUCGAACGAGACCUUCGGGUCUAGUGGCGCACGGGUGCGUAACGCGUGGGAACCUGCCCUUAGGUUCGGAAUAACUCCCCGAAAGGUGUGCUAAUACCGGAUAAUGUCUUCGGACCAAAGAUUUAUCGCCUUUGGAUGGGCCCGCGUUGGAUUAGCUGGUUGGUAGGGUAAAAGCCUACCAAGGCGACGAUCCAUAGCUGGUCUGAGAGGAUGAUCAGCCACACUGGGACUGAGACACGGCCCAGACGCCUACGGGAGGCAGCAGUGGGGAAUAUUGGACAAUGGGCGAAAGCCUGAUCCAGCAAUGCCGCGUGAGUGAUGAAGGCCUUAGGGUUGUAAAGCUCUUUUACCCGGGAUGAUAAUGACAGUACCGGGAGAAUAAGCUCCGGCUAACUCCGUG
rnacentral:rRNA from 1 species